rnacentral:sRNA from 1 species
ACUACCUGGUGAGUGCCGGCGCGCGGGAGGGCGGGUGGGUCCGGCCGAGCGGGAGCCGGGGUGACCAUCCGUGCCCCUCGCAGCCCGACGCCGAGGGUGCCUUCCGCCGCGGCCCGGGCCUGAACUUGACCAGCGGCCAGUACAGGGCGCCCGUGGCUGGCUUCUACGCUCUCGCCGCCACGCUGCACGUGGCGCUCGGGGAGCCGCCGAGGAGGGGGCUGCCGCGCCCCCGGGACCACCUGCGCCUGCUCAUCUGCAUCCAGUCCCGGUGCCAGCGCAACGCCUCCCUGGAGGCCAUCAUGGGCCUGGAGAGCAGCAGUGAGCUCUUCACCAUCUCUGUGAAUGGCGUCCUGUACCUGCAGAUGGGGCAGUGGACCUCCGUGUUCUUGGACAACGCCAGCGGCUGCUCCCUCACAGUGCGCAGUGGCUCCCACUUCAGUGCUGUCCUCCUGGGCGUGUGAGCGGCCACCACAGGCCCUUCCUCUCAGGGGCAAAUGGAGCACAGAUCUAGACAAUGUGUGGACAGUGUCAGAGUAGCAGUGGCCACAUGGAGGAGGAGGCCCACCCGGAACUCUGCCCACACUGGCCACUGCAGUUCAGCCCACAGAGCCACUGCAGGCAGGCCUACGGACGUGACACGCACGCUGGUGGUCCCGGAGCCAGGGUUGAUUCAGGACACCAUCUUGGGCUCUUAUCCAGGAAAGAAAGAGUCGGCGUGCCUGGGGGCACCUGCUAGUCCCCAGCUGCAGGCCGACUCUUUCCUGGCCUGCUCAGCACCUGCCCAGAUGGCCUCUGCAUCUUUCCUGUGCCCAGCCCCACCUUUUCCACCUCUCUUCAUGUUCUCAUGGAGUGCAGAGCGCACCAGCCAGGGCCCCUACCUGGGAGAGGGUCAGCUGACGCAGGGCUGAGGGGGCUGCCACAGGGAAGUACGCUGUGUGUUCUUACUGCUUAGAAGGGACGGGGUCACUCACCACUCCCCUGGUCUCCAUCUGGGCUCCUUGGUCUUCCCUGCCCCUCCCCUAACCGUGUUCUACCUGCCAGUGGAGCUGAGCACUGCCUAGCCUGGGCCAGAGGGACACUGGACAAGGGCCUUUGGGGGACAGUAAGUCUGGGCCCAGCUUCUAGUUCUAAUGUAUGCAAGAUUAACUCACAAAUUCACCUCAGAAGGCCUUUCCAAAUGGGAGCUCCACUCUUCCUUCCUCUGCAAAUCUUUUCACGGCCAAGGCCCCUUCCACCCUCUCCAGAGGUGGAUGAGAUCCCUUUUCCCCCUCUCCUCUGAGGUGCUGACUCACUGGUAGGAGCCACCCACCAGAGGAAAGAUCUAGAACGUCUUUACAGAUUGGAGACAGCCGGGCCUGCUGAUCCAUCAUCCGAAUAGCUGAAGCAGAGUCUUCCACCAGGGGUGCCAGGGCCUGGCUGGGUCCAGCGGCUCUGGGAUGAGCCUCCCAAGCAUCUUUCCCACUUGGGUGGCCAUGCGGCGCUGACAUUGGACAGGUGGUGGACGAGAGAUGGUCCCAAGAAAGGGUGGUCUUGGGAGGGCUGGUCCCAAGCCUGCUGUGCUCCUGCGGCAGUGAUGGGGCCUGGGGAUGGGGACGGCAGCUCUCAUGAGGACACACAGGCUGUGAGCCCGCAGCCUCCUCAAAUGUAGCCUCCCACAUUUUCCCCAAAGUACAGGACUGUCCCAGAGUAGGUAGUGAAGAGGACAAGGCCCUCGGCAGCGACCUCCAGGGCCUCCUACCUGCUGAGGAAGAGUUAACCCACUGCCUCCCCACACAACAGGGCUACGAAGAACCUGGUGCCUCAGGACCUCCUGGGAGCCAAGCUGGUCUGGCAAGGGCGCUCAGGCCUGGGAGAGAAGGGAGCAGUGGCCAGUCACCUUCACCUUCUAACUAACUAGCCUCCGGAUGAGGUGGCUGCCACCAGGCCCGAAUGAUCCCCAGGAGCCCAGCUUCCAAACCCCAACACCGAAUCAAACAUCUCCAUCCCCAAGUGCAGUAACACACAAAAACCAAACACUCUGCCCUGGGAAAGGCCUGGUGCGAUUCUCAGUAGGACUCACACCCACCCUACCUAGAAGUACUGGGCUGGCCUGGGUACUGCAUCCGUGUGUUUUGAUAAGGGGGUGAUGUGGCCACGCCCUUAUCUAGAUUUCACUUUGUAUCCACUGGGCACAGAUAUUCUAGAGAACUUAUCUUUCACUCUUGUAAAAGCCACAUAUCCACAUCUCUUUCAUUUUCUCAGUGUGUUAUGCAGCAAUUUAUUAAAGUAUUUAUUGUCUAAUAAAUACUGCCAGGUGGAAUAUAUUUAUA